GCUAAUGGGCCAUUAGCGUUUGGCUGUAACAGAGCAACGAUCGACCGAUCGUGGGAGGAGAGUUGGAGAUUAAUCUCCAACCUCCCCGAUCGUGCCGAGUUCUGUGGUGAGAGAUUGUAUGAUUGUAUCCCGGGCGGGGGCGUUUGGGUGCAGAGGGUCCGUGAGGCGGCCACGGCCAAAGGAGAAGAAGGAGACGAGGUGGAGGUGUUGGCUGCGCCGGCGGAGGAGGGAUCGGAGGCGUCCGGGAGGAGGAGAGGGCUUGAUCCCCGCCGCAUCGCUGCCCAGUCCCUCGGAUCCGGCGCCCACGACCGGUAGCCGCCCUCCUCCGUUUCCCCAGGCUCUCCGGCAGCGGGCAGGAGGCGAAGGCGUUGGCUGCCGCGGCGGCUAUCUUGGCGGGGAUCUCAUCACCACCUAUCAAAUGGGUUCCGGGUGGCGCCGGUCGGAGUGGCUUCCACUGAUGUGGAUGAUGACGAUGAGGAGGAAGGGGAAGAUGAUGAAGUGGUCGAGGUGCAUGAUGUCGGGGACAGUGAUGAUGAUGCUGUGGAGUCUUCGGGUGUCAAGGGAGAGGCCUCUUCGGUCGAGGCAUCGAGGACGACUACAUCGUCUAGGGACGAGGCCUCCCGUCUCCAUCAGCCAUGCCAACGAUCCGGAGGUGACAGAGUGGGUGGAGCAGGAUAAGCCUGGGGUUUACAUCACCAUCCAAGAGUUGGCCGAUGGGACCCGAGAGCUUCAUCGGGUUCGAUUCAGCCGAGAAAGGUUUGGGGAGGUGCACGCCAAGCUGUGGUGGGAGGUGAACAGAGAGAAGAUACAGGCUGAGUAAGAAAUCGAGUAAGAAAAGCCCAUCAAAGUCAUUCGAAACAUCAUCCAAGGCCUCAGGGUAGAAUCGGAAGAGCAUUGUUGUUGCCAGAGAGAUGCUAGCCUGCAUCGCUUGUUUGAAGCACGAGCUCGAAGAUGGCGCUGAAGACACCGUGUGUGCUGGGAUCCUAAGUACCAAAGGCGCCGCCCCCAAUGGAGAGGUGGUGGAUGCGGGCUUGGCGGCGGGCAAGGCAUCCAGGAACGGAUGCAAGAGGUCUAAUGGAAGGCCAUGAAGCAGAGGCUGUUCGUUGUGGCUAAUAGGCUGCCGGUGUCAGCAGUCAGACAUGGCGAGGACUCGUGGUCACUGGAGAUCAGUGCUGGUGGGCUCAUCAGUGCUCUUCUUGGCACGAAGGAUGUUGAUGCUAAAUGGAUUGUGAUAGAGGCCAUUUUCUUCUAACACAUCUUUUGGUGGAGAACAUGAAAAAAACAUCUCGUAAUAGCGAUGUUGAAGGAAGGAUUGUUCUUGUUUCAUCAGAGGCACACAAUGUUACUUAUCAGGAAGGAAUUUGUUUAAAUAAGAUAAAUGAUGAGUCAGGGUAAACUUUCUUACGGCUAGGACUUCGCAUUACUUUGGAAGUGUGGCAUUGAACACUUCUUGCCUAGUUAAUUAUCUGCUUCGUAAGAUGAUUUAUCUUGCUUAUGGGCAGUCAAAACUUGUUAAUAUUUUGCAUGCUAAUGAGCUUUCCAGACAUUUCAAGGCCUUACUGGUGCUUUUUGAAAGUUAAUGAUGAAAAAUGUGCAGCAGGGGCCUGCAACAACAUGCUAUGUGGCACUACAUCCUCAAGUUAAUGGAGUGACAGGACAGUAUUUCAGUAAUAGUAAUUUAGCGACACCUAGCUCCAAAGCUUCCGACAAACAACUGGCCAAGAAAUUAUGGGAUUUCAGCUUGAAUUCAAUUGCUUAUUGCUAUAUCGUCGACUUGCUUUAUCUCAUUCUUUAAUGCUCACCUUUUACUGUAAAACCUCUGAAUUAAUUGUACUCCACCUCUGCAUGUGCAUUGCACAUUCUUUUUUUAAAGAAGAAAGAGCAUUUUGAUGAAUUGCUGUGAUUCCAUCAAUGAAGAUUGUUUAUAGCAAAUUUGAUAAAUUACUUCUGUUUUAGUUUGAAUACUA